CCCAUUAUCGCAAAAAUCUUGAGUUUUUUCCCGUGAAGAAGAUUCUCUAAUGGAGCAAGUGAGAGGAAGAUAUUGUUACUAUGCGAUCCUUGGAAUUUCUAAACACGCAUCACAAUCUGAAAUCCGCAAGGCUUACAGAAAACUAGCUCUGCUAAGUUUUUUCCUUUUUCUCUUAAGCUACAGAAGUGAUGCGAUGAGUCUUCUUUUGGGUGUUAAAAAUUUUGUUGUGUUCUGUGUAGAAAUGGCAUCCGGAUAGAUGGAACUUAAGGAAUUUGACUAUGGGUAAUGAAGCUAAGCAAAGGUUUCAACAAAUUCAAGAAGCUUAUGCAGUUUUGUCAGAUGAAAGGAAUUUGACUAUGUUGGAUUAUAUGAUCCAUUACAAGAAGAGGACGAGGGCCUCUCUGAUUUUAUGCAGGAGAUGUUGUCGAUGAUGGCAAAUGCACGGAAUCAGCAGAAUAGUUUUGAAGAUCUUCAAAAGAUGUUUCAUGAGAUAACAAGGGGCGACAGCAUGCAAUUUCACAAUGAGGAUGAUGACAAAGAUACUGAUCAAACAGCUAGCAAGAGAGAUCGUAGAACUGGUUCACCAUCUCAGUUCAGCAGCAUGCCUGCCCCUGUAUAUUCAUAACAUUAUUAUUU